AAGCCUAGGCCUAACAGAGCUGGGAAGGAGACUUCAAAGCUACCUUGUGGUUGUGUCAGCUUCAGCAAACCAACACCCACAGCACACUGGGGAGGGCGGGCAGCACAAUCCCGUGGGCAAGAAUGCAACAUUCAUCUCCCGUCUGGUGAAGCGGGGCUGCUCUGUAUUGACUGGGUUAGAAUUAGAAUUGAUUUUCAUAGAACGAUGUUGUUGAUCCUCUUGGAUUGCGUUACUUCCUUCUCUGGUUUCUUGUUUACUUUUCAACAAAGCCGGAGCUUUCUCCACCACACGUUCAGCUGUGUCCAGAGCUCCUGCUAAAGGUGGGAGAGAUGGGGAAGGGGCUGCUGGCUCUGGGAAGCAGAGUACAGCAAAAUUUGACUCUACCUGGGACUGCUCUGGCACCAUGGAGGACAAAUGCGGUUUAUGCAAAACCUUUGAACGCAGUAGCUUCAGGCCCCAUGCAGCCAUCCAGGUGAUUCUUUUUUUUUUUUUUUUUUUUCCAGACCACCACAUCAGUCUUCUCCAACACCACUUCAUCUCAAACAUAUUUAUUUGUUUCCAGUUAACUUCACUGAGAUAACAGGAAAACUCCCCAGGGAAUUGCCAUAGAAACACCCGAUGGAGACCAGGCGAGAUUAGGGCAGUGGAGCCCGAAGAUACUGUUAAGAUUAAGAGAGAUUUAGCCACAACUCUCCAAGUAUCAUCCUACUGGAAGAGGAACAAAAACAAGACUUAAGAUGGAAAAUGUCCUGCAUGGUUAGAGAUGGAACAGCAGCUGACAAUUCCUCUCUCUGGGGAUACUCAGCACCAUAACGCAGCAGAAAAGCUGGUGCUGCCUCACUAGGGAUCAAGCAGGACCAGUGCAUACUUUGGAAAAGCACUUGGGAAGAGACAUUUUGUCUCUUCUAGAUGCCUCAUUGCAGGCAAACCCUGCAGCAGCAGCACUUUGCCCCCACUAUGGGAAGCCCUUCUCCACAACUAGGGUCCAUUUCUAAUUCAGAAAUUAAUAUCUGUGUUAAUUAGCUCUUCAGUUGCGCAGCAAGUGACUCUUACACAGAGUCCCUAUCACUGGGAUUUUCCCAGAUGUCAGCCUUUGGAAAGGCUUUCUGACAGCUUUCCAGCCUCAGAAAAGCUCUGCUGAAUCUCAAUAUAGUACAUGCGACUCCCGACUGCAAAAGUGUUAAAAACGUACCCAGAUCUUUUUCUGUGCUUGGUGACAUUGAUAACCCUUUAAGCAAAGUAGUGUCCUUCUGCAUAACAGACUGAGAAGGAUGGGAUUAAAUCCAAGAAGGAAAUAUAAUAAGAAGUGAAGGAGCUGCCUACCAUUAGUAGCGAUUUGAGUGUCAGGCAGUCUUUUUUCAGGCAAUUUACCAGUGCUUUUGUCCAAGCUGUUCAUUCAGCAAAACACUAUUAUGAAAAUAGAUGUCAUUGGAAGCACUUUUUUAUUUUUACUAUUCAAAAGUGUACUUAAUUCCAUUUUUCUAUUAAACGCUGUUAAUUUUCCUAGAGUUCAAACAGAAGGCCCUGACUGUAGGAAACUGGGGUCGUGGUUUUCCUUAUAAGGAAAAUGUUGGGCAGCGUUCCUGCACUUCCUGCUAUUUGAUGCUCAUACACACAAAUACUGAGAACCAUUAGAAAUUAAAUAUCCUUAACUGCAAAAUAGAAGGGAAUUCAUCAACAAUAUUGAUUUUUUUUUCAUGCAUGUGUAGCUCCUUUGGCAAUUAGCUGUGGAACUGCUGUUUCUUUUCUGUGAACCAAAUUUUAGUUGCAGUGUUUUCUGUAUUCUAAUAAUAAGCUUUUGUUCGCUUUAUUUUUUCUCAUGCAAAUUGUCAGCCUGGAUUUGCAGGCAUAUUUCUCCUACAGCCAAUGAGGUGGUUAAUUAAAAUGUACUCAGUGAGUCAAAGGUGGAGCUGAUGAGGGAGCCUAAAUAAAACAGGAUCUUCAUCAGGCA
rnacentral:lncRNA from 1 species